rnacentral:rRNA from 1 species
UGCAGUCGACGGAACAGGACGCUGUGAUCUCUUCGGAGUGAACUUGUCGCUGUCGAGUGGCGGACGGGUGAGUAAUGCAUAGGAAUUUGCCUUGGAGUGGGGGAUAGCCCGGAGAAAUCCGGAUUAAUACCGCAUGCGCUCUACGGAGCAAAGCGGGCCUCUUCUUGAAAGCUCGCGCUUUGAGAUAAGCCUAUGUCGGAUUAGCUUGUUGGUAGGGUAAAAGCCUACCAAGGCGACGAUCCGUAGCUGGUUUGAGAGGAUGAUCAGCCACCCUGGGACUGGGAAACGGCCCAAACUCCUACGGGGAGGCAGCAGUGGGGGAAUAUUGGACAAUGGGGCGCAAGCCUGAUCCAGCAAUGCCGCGUGUGUGAAGAAAGCCUGCGGGUUGGAAAGCACUUUUUAUUGGGAAAGAAAAACUUAGGGUUAAUACCCUUGGGGUCUUGACGGUACCCAAAGAAUAAAGCACCGGCUAACUCAGUGCCAGCAGCCGCCGGUAAUACG